rnacentral:rRNA from 1 species
CCUACGGGGAGCAGCAGUGAGGAAUAUUGGUCAAUGGGCGGAAGCCUGAACCAGCCAAGUCGCGUGAGGGAAUAAGGCCCUACGGGUCGUAAACCUCUUUUGCCGGGGAGCAAGGGCGGGGACGUGUCCCGGCCCGGAGAGUACCCGGAGAAAAAGCAUCGGCUAACUCCGUGCCAGCAGCCGCGGUAAUACGUAGGGUGCAAGCGUUAUCCGGAUUUAUUGGGCGUAAAGGGCUCGUAGGCGGUUCGUCGCGUCCGGUGUGAAAGUCCAUCGCUUAACGGUGGAUCCGCGCCGGGUACGGGCGGGCUUGAGUGCGGUAGGGGAGACUGGAAUUCCCGGUGUAACGGUGGAAUGUGUAGAUAUCGGGAAGAACACCAAUGGCGAAGGCAGGUCUCUGGGCCGUUACUGACGCUGAGGAGCGAAAGCGUGGGGAGCGAACAGGAUUAGAUACCCGGGUAGUC